CCCUUAGAUGUUCUGGGCCGCACGCGCGCUACACUGACGGAGGCAGCGAGCAUGUCCUUCGCCGAGAGGUGUGGGGAAUCUUGUGAGUCUCCGUCGUGCUGGGGAUAGAUGGUUGCAAUUGUCGAUCUUGAACGAGGAAUUCCUAGUAAGCGCGAGUCAUCAGCUCGCGCUGAUUACGUCCCUGCCCUUUGUACACACCGCCCGUCGCUACUACCGAUUGAAUCGUUUAGCGAGAAUUUUGGAUCGGAGCCCUGGUGGGCAGCUAUGUCCGCCUGGGAUUUACCGAGAAAUCAUUCCAGCUUGCCGAUUUAGAGGAAGUAAAAGUCGUAACA
rnacentral:rRNA from 1 species